UGAUAUCAGGGUCAAAAGGUCAGAAAGUCGUUCGUGCUUGCACGAUAAGACUUUGGAGCUUGGGACUCGUCAAACAUGAGAAAGUAGCAAUUUACGUAGUAAAUCAGAGGAUUUCGAAUGUUUGAGUAUUGACAGGCCAGAGUCAGGAAAAUUUUUGACUCUGGCCUGCUAUAUA
rnacentral:ncRNA from 2 species